UACAGAGGUCUCAAGCGUUGUUCGGAUUCAUUGGGCGUAAAGGGUGCGUAGGCGGCGCGGUAAGUCGGGUGUGAAAUCUCGGAGCUUAACUCCGAAACUGCAUUCGAUACUGCCGUGCUUGAGGACUGGAGAGGAGACUGGAAUUUACGGUGUAGCGGUGAAAUUCGUAGAUAUCGGGAGGAACACCGGUGGCGAAGGCGGUUCUCUGGGCCUGUACUGACGCUGAGGAGCGAAAGUGUGGGGAGGCGAACAGG
rnacentral:rRNA from 1 species